rnacentral:rRNA from 1 species
UACGGAGGAUGCGAGCGUUAUCCGGAUUUAUUGGGUUUAAAGGGUGCGUAGGCGGACUGUUAAGUCAGCGGUAAAAGCCCGGGGCUCAACCCCGGCGAGCCGUUGAAACUGGCUGUCUUGAGAUGUCGAGAGGUAUGCGGAAUGCGCAGUGUAGCGGUGAAAUGCUUAGAUAUUGCGCAGAACUCCGAUUGCGAAGGCGGCAUACCGGCGGCGAUCUGACGCUGAGGCACGAAAGCGUGGGUAUCGAACAGG